UCAGUUGUGAAAGUUUGCGGCUCAACCGUAAAAUUGCAGUUGAUACUGGGUGUCUUGAGUACAGUAGAGGCAGGCGGAAUUYGUGGUGUAGCGGUGAAAUGCUUAGAUAUCACGAAGAACUCCGAUUGCGAAGGCAGCUUGCUGGACUGUAACUGACGCUGAUGCUCGAAAGUGUGGGUAUCAAACAGGAUUAGAUACCCUGGUAGUCCACACAGUAAACGAUGAAUACUCGCUGUUUGCGAUAUACAGUAAGCGGCCAAGCGAAAGCGUUAAGUAUUCCACCUGGGGAGUACGCCGGCAACGGUGAAACUCAAAGGAAUUGACGGGGGCCCGCACAAGCGGAGGAACAUGUGGUUUAAUUCGAUGAUACGCGAGGAACCUUACCCGGGCUUGAAUUGCAACUGAAUGAUGUGGAGACAUAA
rnacentral:rRNA from 1 species